AACGAACGCUGGCGGCAGGCCUAACACAUGCAAGUCGAGCGCCCCGCAAGGGGAGCGGCCGACGGGUGAGUAACGCGUGGGCAUCCUCCCAUCCCUACGGAAUAGCUCCGGGAAACUGGAAUUAAUACCGUAUACGCCCUACGGGGGAAAGAUUUAUCGGGGAUGGAUGAGCCCGCGUUGGAUUAGCUAGUUGGUGGGGUAAAGGCAUACCAAGGCGACGAUCCAUAGCUGGUCUGAGAGGAUGAUCAGCCACAUUGGGACUGAGACACGGCCCAAACUCCUACGGGAGGCAGCAGUGGGGAAUAUUGGACAAUGGGGGCAACCCUGAUCCAGCCAUGCCGCGUGAGUGAUGAAGGCCUUAGGGUUGUAAAGCUCUUUCCCCGGGGAAGAUAAUGACGGUACCCGGAGAAGAAGCCCCGGCUAACUUCGUGCCAGCCGCCGCGGUAA
rnacentral:rRNA from 1 species